rnacentral:rRNA from 1 species
GCCACUGAGUAUGACGUCUCGGAUCGUAAGAUCUUUUUUAGGUAGACAUGCUGUAAGUAGUAGAACGUCUGACGGUCGUAUCAGACGUCACGUAAAAUACGGUCAGCAACUCGGUAAUAGAGGUGGCUAGUGUGUCGAUAAUAGUGGGUGUAAAAGCGUGUGGUGGUGGUUAGUGUGAUGUGAAUGCGCACGGCUCGACCGUUGAGGGUCAUGGAAGCCGCAACCUUGAGUGCAGAAGAGGAAAGUGGAAUGCCAGUGAAGCGAUAAAUGCGCAGAGAUGGGAGGAUCACCAGUGGCGAAGGUGACUUCUGGUCUGUCAGUGACGUUGAUGUCGAAAGCGUGGGGAUCAAACAGGAUGAGAUACCACGGUGGUCCACUCCCUAAACGAUGAGUGCUAAGUGCGAGGGGGUCUCCGCCCCUUAGUGUCGCAGCUAACGCAUUAAGCAAUCCGCUAGGGGAGUACGACCGCAAGGUCGAAAUCAAAGGAAUAGUCGGGGACCCGCACGAGCGGCGGAGCAUGCGGUGGAGCUCGUAGCAUCGUGAAGAGCCUUACCAAAUACCGACAUCCUGUGACAACUCAAGAGAUAGAGCUUUCCCAUUGGGGGGUCAAAGUGCCAGGUGGUGCAUGGUGGUUGUCAGCUCGCGUCUUGAGAUGUGGGGUUACGUCCCGCAUCGAGCGCAGCCCGUAAGCCUAGUUGCCAUCAUUCAGUGAGGCACUUUGAGUAGUCUGCCGGUGACAACCCGGCGGAAGGUGGGG